GGGGGUGGGGGAGGGGUGGGAACUAUCAUCCAUUUCCAGAAUAAGUAUUGAUCACAAACUGGCUUUCAUUCUAAACUGUUCAAUGUUGUAGACGUAUUAUAUACUUACCACUCGAAAGUAGGACCAUCUGUGACUAUUACCUUAACUACAUCUAAAGGAAACAACGCUUUCGUAUUUCACAAGUUCAAUACAAAGAGAAUACUGAAUAGUGAAGCCAAUUAAUUCCAUUCUAAAUUACCUAGCUAGACGCCUAACCAAUUUGAAAUAUUCACAUUUGACAUAUCAAUGUUCCAUUAGUAUACCACAUGUUGAAACAUAUUCCAUGUAUUCUCGUCACAACUACGUAUGACUUAUCUUAAAUAAAUAAAAAAUCAUGCUCUUGAUGUAACAUUUUCAAGAUUUGAAGCUUGCAUUUUACUUCAGCAUCCGAUAUUAAAUGAUUAGCUAUUUAAUAUGGGAAGGAAAUGUUUCUUAUUUCUUGAAUGCCCUAUGUUCAGUUAAUCAUUCAAGUUCAUGAAUGAAGCUUUAAACCUUGGACCCCGUUGGUAAACACAACCAAACACAUGGUGAAAAGUAACGAACAGUUGGUGAAUCAAAAAUACACUACAAGAAAUGAGAUCUACGGCCACAUUUAAUCAGUGACAUGUGGAAAAAAUGUCGGAAAAAGAAUCAUUUUGUGCCACUUCAUAAAAAAUGCGGUAAAUUCAAUGACAUUUGAUUAAAAAUGACACAGUAAUUGCGACUUUUAAAUGAAAUGUAGCUAUAUGAGUCGUUAUUUACUGACAUUUAUAUCUAAUGAAGGAAACUUACAUUUAUACUUAUUAAGCUAAAAAUAUAUAGGCAUGGUCAACUAUGUUUAUUAAAAACCCUAACCCCAAUCUUUCCUCUUAAAACCAUGCCUCCGAUCUUCCCCUUUCCUCAUACCCAAAUAAUUGAUGUCGUCAUCUCAAAUUCACAAAUUGAUCGAUUGCAAAUCACAUUCUCGAAGUUCAAAGUUGCACUCGAUUAGCGAUAAGCAAAUCUCAGUGUGGCGCCGAAAAUUGAAAGGGGAAGCAACCAGGUUGGUCUUAGAUUGUUCUAAACUCUAAACAUGACAGAUACUACUGAUACUUCUCAGACUUUUGAUCGAGGUUAUUAAGGUUGAUAUGCAAAAAUUGGAGUCAAAAGAGAAACUCUUGUGCAAAGAACUGUUGUGAAUUAAUAUUUUUUGUACUCAACAUUGGAGUUUAUUUAUAGUUAGCAUAGCUUGUUCUGAAUAUGUACUGGGGAAAAACUUUAUAUUUUUGAGAACCACUACUGAGUGGUAUUGUAAGAUUUUCAAAAAUAAUGUGUACGUAUCUCUUUUGUUUUAAUUCAAAAUUCUUUUGUUGGGUAUG